rnacentral:rRNA from 1 species
ACUCCUACGGGAGGCAGCAGUGGGGAAUUUUGGACAAUGGGCGAAAGCCUGAUCCAGCAAUGCCGCGUGUGUGAAGAAGGCCUUCGGGUUGUAAAGCACUUUUGUCCGGAAAGAAAUCCUUGGCUCUAAUACAGUCGGGGGAUGACGGUACCGGAAGAAUAAGCACCGGCUAACUACGUGCCAGCAGCCGCGGUAAUACGUAGGGUGCGAGCGUUAAUCGGAAUUACUGGGCGUAAAGCGUGCGCAGGCGGUUUGCUAAGACCGAUGUGAAAUCCCCGGGCUCAACCUGGGAACUGCAUUGGUGACUGGCAGGCUAGAGUAUGGCAGAGGGGGGUAGAAUUCCACGUGUAGCAGUGAAAUGCGUAGAGAUGUGGAGGAAUACCGAUGGCGAAGGCAGCCCCCUGGGCCAAUACUGACGCUCAUGCAUGAAAGCGUGGGGAGCAAACAGGAUUAGAAACCCCAGUAGUCCCAUG